GAUGAACGCUGGCGGCGUGCCUAAUACAUGCAAGUCGAGCGAACAGAUAAGGAGCUUGCUCCUUUGACGUUAGCGGCGGACGGGUGAGUAACACGUGGGUAACCUACCUAUAAGACUGGAAUAACUCCGGGAAACCGGGGCUAAUGCCGGAUAACAUUUAGAACCGCAUGGUUCUAAAGUGAAAGAUGGUUUUGCUAUCACUUAUAGAUGGACCCGCGCCGUAUUAGCUAGUUGGUAAGGUAACGGCUUACCAAGGCAACGAUACGUAGCCGACCUGAGAGGGGGAUCGGCCACAAUGGAACUGAGACACGGUCCAGACUCCUACGGGAGGCAGCAGUAGGGAAUCUUCCGCAAUGGGCGAAAGCCUGACGGAGCAACGCCGCGUGAGUGAUGAAGGUCUUCGGAUCGUAAAACUCUGUUAUUAGGGAAGAACAAAUGUGUAAGUAACUGUGCACGUCUUGACGGUACCUAAUCAGAAAGCCACGGCUAACUACGUG
rnacentral:rRNA from 1 species